rnacentral:antisense_RNA from 1 species
GUCUCAGCUCGAGCAUUCCUAGCGCCAACACGCCCUCAGGUAAAGGUGGAAGUAAAUGGCCACGCUGUAUUGACAGAGCAGGUAGAUGAAACUCAAGAGAAAAGGUGUGGAUAAAUGAAACUAGCCCAUGAUGAACCUGUUUUCUCCAUGACCACAAUAUUAACCAGGAUGAUGGCGGUGGCAGUGGGCCUGCAUCACAGGUUGCAGCAGAUGUUCUCAAUAUUUCUAUUAAAAUUUCCUUAUUUCCAUAUGCAAGAGGAGCCCCAGAGCUGCAUCCUUAUGGUAGCUACCAUGCCGUGAUGUAAGCUGCCAUUCACUGGGGAGCUUUGGCAAUAGAAUUGGCUAGAUCAGCAAGCCCAUGUCAACUAUGGAACAACAACUUGCAGCUCAUCUCUAUUGAUGAUGGAAUCUCGCUAUGUCACCAGGCUGGAGUGCAGUGGCGCAACCUCGGCUCAGCGCAACAUCCGCCUCCCGGGUUCAAGUGAUUCUCCUACCUCAGCCUCCCGAGUAGCUGGGAUUACAGGUGAAACAGUCGCAAAUGGAAUUUCAAGAAACAUUCUAUAUACACUGCCUCUAGGACUGGGACAGAUAGCCACUGAGUACCUGCUUCAAAUCACCCUGCACGUUUUCUCUUUGGAAAGAUAAGCACUGGAGAACCAUCUCGUUACCUUCAGCAAAAAUGGAAACAAAUCAAGACAUUAAGAAUGCCACAGUGGACAGCAGUUAUGCAAGGUUCAGCAGAGGAAGUUUUCAAGAUGGUGUGCCUCACUAGCCAGAAAUCAGAAAAGAUCGAAGCUAGCCUUUUCAUCUCAGCUGCUCCUUAAAUCAGUGCAACCCCUCCAAAUUAAUGUGAAUUGAAACAUGCAUUGCUUUUCAACUUAAUUGAAUACUUACUAUAUGUGAACCACUGCACAAAAUAGGGGAAGAAGAUGUGGGAGACAAAGAUGUGGAGCCUGUCUUCAAUAAAUUUACAGUUAGUUUCAGGGUACAUUGUUUUUCUUCUGCUGUUAAUUAGGUGUAUCCCCAAGACAAUAAAUACAUGAAUGGAAAAGUAUAUUCUGUGUUUUAAGUCUCUUUAAUAAAAAACAAAACAAAAUCCAAAAAAACUCCUAACAUGGCAACUCAGGACAUUUUAAUCCUUUUUUUUGUUGUUGGGCUUCUGAUAGGAUCCAUUUUAUUGAUUCCAUAAAUAUUUAGUAGACUUUAGACAUAUUAAUACAUUGUAGUUUGAGUUAAUUUGCAUUAAAUUCUGUUUUUUCCCCCUUAGGUAUAGAUUGUCUGUUGGAAAAAUAUAUUGCUUGUGGAUUUCUUGGGGAGUGGGAAGGUGAAUUAUACCUGUUGUCUCUACAGUCCACUACCUUCCACGCCCUAGGGCAGUGGUCCCCAACCUUCUUGGCACCAGGGAUCAGUUUCCUGGAAAUCAAUUUUUCUGUGGAUGGUGUGGGGAUGGUUUUGGGAUGGAACUGUUCCACCUCAGAUCAUCAGGCAUUAGUUAGGCUCUCAUAACGAGUGCGCAGCCUAGAUCCCUCACAUGCACAGUUCACAGUAGGCUUUGCGCUGCUAUGAGAAUCUAAGGCUGCCACUGAUCUGACAGGAGGCAGAACUCAGGUGGCAAUGCUUACUGGCCCACUGCUCACCUCUUGCUGUGCGGCCUGGUUCCUAAUAGGCCAUGGACCCCCACAGACUGGUACUAGUCUGCAGCUUGUGGACCCCAGCCCUAGGGGCCUGCCAUUCUGAGUGAGUUAUUAGCAUGAAGAAGAGGAAGAUCUGGAUCAUACGUGGGUGAUGGUUCUCAGAGACCCAAGAUAGGAUAGGGAUGGAACAAAAUCCAUCUGGGCAACGGCUCUAUGAAAAUUUGGCUAAGUAAUUAUUUCAGUAUUCAUUGUAUUCAUUGGCCUUCGUGUUCCAUAAGUUAAAUGACUGUCUAAUUUUUCCAAAAAUUUAUUUCUGACUUGAGAAUAAGUGUGUCAUGAUUUUCCCAGUGUAAAGACACUGAUAUAACUGUAGAUACCAGACAUUUUAUGUAGUGUCUGUGACACAUUUUAGUAUGUAUGAGCCAACAAUAGACAUGUCUUUGUCUUGAGGAGUGUCCAUCUGAAUUGAAAAUGUGUCAGCUUUUUUUUAACAUCAUCAACAGACUUCUUAAUUAAGCUGCCAAUACAUACUGCCAAUAGCACUGUGUGCUGUCUGAGAAAUGCAUUGUGUAAGUGCUAUUUCCAUCUUAUUAAAUAAACAAUGUUGCUCUGUAUAAACUGGAUUUAAA